CCUACGGGCGGCACCAGUGGGGAAUAUUGCACAAUGGGCGCAAGCCUGAUGCAGCCAUGCCGCGUGUAUGAAGAAGGCCUUCGGGUUGUAAAGUACUUUCAGCGGGAGGAAGGUGUUGAGGUUAAUAACCUCAGCAAUUGACGUUACCCGCAGAAGAAGCACCGGCUAACUCCGUGCCAGCAGCCGCGGUAAUACGGAGGGUGCAAGCGUUAAUCGGAAUUACUGGGCGUAAAGCGCACGCAGGCGGUCUGUCAAGUCGGAUGUGAAAUCCCCGGGCUCAACCUGGGAACUGCAUUCGAAACUGGCAGGCUAGAGUCUUGUAGAGGGGGGUAGAAUUCCAGGUGUAGCGGUGAAAUGCGUAGAGAUCUGGAGGAAUACCGGUGGCGAAGGCGGCCCCCUGGACAAAGACUGACGCUCAGGUGCGAAAGCGUGGGGAGCAAACAGGAUUAGAUACCCGGGUAGUC
rnacentral:rRNA from 1 species